rnacentral:tRNA from 1 species
UGGGGAGUCGUCAAGUGGUUAAGACUCUGGAUUCUGAUUCCAGCACGCGAAGGUUCGAAUCCUUCCUCCCCAGCCA